GAGUUUGAUCCUGGCUCAGAGCGAACGUUGGCGGCGCGCUUAACACAUGCAAGUCGCACGAGAAAAGGGGCAACCCUGAGUACAGUGGCGCACGGGUGCGUAACACGUAGGCAAUCUGCCCUCAGGCGGGGGAUAACCAUCCGAAAGGAUGGCUAAUACCGCGUAUGACCACAGUCGCUUCGGCGACAGAGGUAAAGCUGGCCUCUACUUGUAAGCUAGCACCUGAGGAGGAGCCUGCGGCCCAUCAGCUAGUUGGUGAGGUAACGGCUCACCAAGGCAAAGACGGGUAGCUGGUCUGAGAGGAUGAUCAGCCACACUGGCACUGAAACACGGGCCAGACUCCUACGGGAGGCAGCAGUGGGGAAUAUUGGACAAUGGGCGAAAGCCUGAUCCAGCGACGCCGCGUGGGUGAUGAAGGCCUUC
rnacentral:rRNA from 1 species